rnacentral:rRNA from 1 species
GACGUAGGGCGCGAGCGUUGUCCGGAUUUAUUGGGCGUAAAGAGCUCGUAGGCGGCUUGUCGCGUCGAAUGUGAAAACUCGGGGCUCAACCCCGCGCUUGCAUUCGAUACGGGCAGGCUCGAGUUCGGUAGGGGAGACUGGAAUUCCUGGUGUAGCGGUGAAAUGCGCAGAUAUCAGGAGGAACACCGGUGGCGAAGGCGGUUCUCUGGGCCUUACCUGACGCUGAGGAGCGAAAGCGUGGGGAGCGAACAGG